rnacentral:rRNA from 1 species
GACGAACGCUGGCGGCGUGCCUAAUACAUGCAAGUCGAGCGGAACCGGGGGGAGCUUGCUCCUUCCAGUUUAGCGGCGGACGGGUGAGUAACACGUGGGCAACCUACCCUGCAGAUCGGGAUAACUCCGGGAAACCGGUGCUAAUACCGAAUAGUUUGGCGCCUCUCCUGAGGCGCUACGGAAAGACGGUUUCGGCUGUCACUGCAGGAUGGGCCCGCGGCGCAUUAGCUAGUUGGUGGGGUAACGGCCCACCAAGGCGACGAUGCGUAGCCGACCUGAGAGGGUGACCGGCCACACUGGGACUGAGACACGGCCCAGACUCCUACGGGAGGCAGCAGUAGGGAAUCUUCCGCAAUGGACGCAAGUCUGACGGAGCAACGCCGCGUGAGUGACGAAGGUUUUCGGAUCGUAAAACUCUGUUGUGAGGGAAGAACACGUACCAACUAACUAUUGGUACCUUGACGGUACCUCACCAGAAAGCCACGGCUAACUACGUGCCAGCAGCCGCAGUAA